GACGAACGCUGGCGGCGUGCCUAACACAUGCAAGUCGAACGGAAGUAAGAGCUUCGGUUUUUACUUUAGUGGCGAACGGGUGAGUAACGCGUGAGGAACCUGCCUUUCAGUGGGGGACAACAGUUGGAAACGACUGCUAAUAUCGCAUAAGCGCACAGUACCGCAUGGUACGGUGUGAAAAACUCCGGUGGUAUGAGAUGGACCCGCGUCUGAUUAGCUAGUUGGUGAGGUAACGGCUCACCAAGGCGACGAUCAGUAGCCGACCUGAGAGGGUGAUCGGCCACAUUGGGACUGAGACACGGCCCAA
rnacentral:rRNA from 1 species